UCGGGUAUGGUGUAACGGCUAACAUUGCCGCCUCUCACACACUGAAAUCGCGGCAGCUCGGGGUUCGAUUCCCCGUACCCGAA